ensembl:snoRNA Y62F5A.11 ncRNA
CCCAAAAUGACGAAACCCUAUCCCCAAUGAUUUUACGACGUUUCAAGUCAUUUCCAUAUCAAUCGGCGACCUACUACACCGUCUUUUGAUUGACCUGAAACGCGUAGAGCUAGUGAAUCUUCAUCAUAACGAUAAGAUCUGAUUGG